CGAACGCUGGCGGCAGGCUUAACACAUGCAAGUCGAACGGUUGCAGCAAUGCAGCAGUGGCAGACGGGUGAGUAACACGUGGGAAUCUUCCUCGGGGUACGGAACAACUCAGGGAAACUUGAGCUAAUACCGUAUACGUCCGUGAGGAGAAAGAUUUAUCGCCCUGAGACGGGCCCGCGUCGGAUUAGCUAGUUGGUGGGGUAACGGCCUACCAAGGCGACGAUCCGUAGCUGAUCUUAGAGGAUGAUCAGCCACACUGGGACUGAGACACGGCCCAGACUCCUACGGGAGGCAGCAGUGGGGAAUCUUGGACAAUGGGGGCAACCCUGAUCCAGCCAUGCCGCGUGAGUGAAGAAGGUCUUCGGAUUGUAAAGCUCUUUUGCCAGGGACGAUAAUGACGGUACCUGGAGAAUAAGCCCGGCAAACUUCGUGCCGGCAGCCGCGGUAAUCUGAUG
rnacentral:rRNA from 1 species